rnacentral:rRNA from 1 species
GCCCAGACUCCUACGGGAGGCAGCAGUGAGGAAUAUUGGUCAAUGGACGCAAGUCUGAACCAGCCAUGCCGCGUGCAGGAUGACGGCUCUAUGAGUUGUAAACUGCUUUUGUACGAGGGUAAACCCCGAUACGUGUAUCGGGUUGAAAGUAUCGUACGAAUAAGGAUCGGCUAACUCCGUGCCAGCAGCCGCGGUAAUACGGAGGAUCCGAGCGUUAUCCGGAUUUAUUGGGUUUAAAGGGUGCGUAGGCGGUUUGAUAAGUUAGAGGUGAAAUGUCGGGGCUCAACCCCGGCCGGCCGUUGAAACUGGUUUUCUAGAGUUGGAGAGAAGUAUGCGGAAUUCGUGGUGUAGCGGUGAAAUGCAUAGAUAUCACGAAGAACUCCGAUUGCGAAGGCAGCAUACCGGCUCCAUACUGACGCUGAGGCACGAAAGCGUGGGGAUCGAACAGGAUUAGAUACCCCGGUACAC